GCGAUUUUUACAAGUCAGAUACAUUUAUUCAGCAGAUCAUUAUUUAGACAUUUCACAGAAAGCUAACCUUAUUUCUUUCUCAGGAUUGGGGAUGUAUUUGUUGUAUGCGGAUGAUUUGCCCCCGACCCAUAUUUUAAUGAUGUGAGUUGGUACGUGAUUACCAGAGGCAGCUGUGGCUGCUCCAAUGCGGAAUAAAUGGCCUGAGAAGGAAUGAGGGUUAUGUCCUAGUCAGAGUGAUAUCGUACGAAUGUAAAGCAUACAACGUUUAUUGGUUAGUGGUUUCCCUUGAAAAGCUACUAGUGGGGAAUCAGGGAUGGAAGUGAGUUGAGAUUCC